CAACUCUCAACAACGGAUAUCUUGGCUCCCGUAACGAUGAAGAACGCAGCGAAAUGCGAUACGUAGUGUGAAUUGCAGAAUUAUGUGAAUCAUCGAAUUUUUGAACGCAAAUUGCGCCCAAGGUCUCGGCCGAGGGCAUGUCUGCCUCAGCGUCGUCGU
rnacentral:rRNA from 1 species